rnacentral:misc_RNA from 1 species
CAGCGGAGCGUGUGGUUUAAUUCGACGCAACGCGAAGAACCUUACCUGGGCUUGACAUGCACGUGGUACGACCGGGAAACCGGGAGGACCCGCAAGGGAGCGUGCACAGAUGCUGCAUGGCUGUCGUCAGCUCGUGCCGUGAGGUGUUGGGUUAAGUCCCGCAACGAGCGCAACCCUCGCUGCCAGUUACCAUGUCUGGCGGGACCGCCGGGUCCAACCCGGAGGAAGGUGGGGAUGACGUGCUUGCUAGGUAA